UCUCCCCAGGAUUUAAGAUCAUGCCGCUCUUGUUUUGGGCUUUUUCAGGACAGUUAACUCUCAGGAAGAGGGGGACCUCCAAACCUCUAAGUCGCCAAACCACCGGACCGCCCUGGGUGGAAGAAACCGCUUCGGCAGCAGAGGAAGCAACAGCUUCGCAGAGCAGCCCGGCCCGAGUGGCUACGCAGGGUCUGUCUGGUCUCAGCUGUGGCCUCUGAGUCAUUAGCGUGUUUUUCUUCUGAGGCCAGGGCCCUCCUGUUUCCUGGCUGAUGAAGCAGGUGGAAGAAACACAAUCUGGCCGCCCAGAGGCUGCGUGAAGCCCACGACCCUGCGGGGUGACCACCGGAGCUCAGCUGGGUGGGACCGGAAACCACCUCUGGGCACUCCUGAGUCACAGGCACAGGAGCUUUCGCCUCCGCCUUCAGGCUGGCCCCCAGGCUUCCCUGCUCAGAGGCACAGAAUUGUGCAGCCGGAGUUUCGUUUUCCAAGAGGCAGGGUCUCAGUCUGUCACCCAGGCUGGAGUACAGUGGCACCAUUUUGGCUCACUGUAGCCUCGACCUCCUGGGCUCAAGUGAGCCUCCUACCUCAACCUCCGAAAAUGCUGGGAUUACAAGCAUGAACCACUGUGACUUGCCUUCUUGGCAAUUUUAAAUGAAAGAAGAAGAUGGAAUAAUGCCUACUGACGAUUAUGUUUGAAGGGUGUUUUAUGACCCCGUUUUCCAUACCCAGCCAACUUGUCAUUCAUGUGACAAGUCCACAGAAAGAUGUUAUAUGGCCGGGAAUCUAUGAACUAUGUCAUUCAUUUAUUCAGUCUUCCCUACAAUGUACCUGACUACAGCUAACAUCAUAUCACAUGAUGAAAGACCGCGUUGCUUUCCCCUGAGGUUGGCAGAAAGCUGUAGACGAGCAUGCGCACUUCCACACCUAGAAGGGAACAGCUGCCUCCGAGUGGCUCGCCUCUUUGCACAAGGGGCUCAGCUCAGAGCUUCCCCUAACCCUGGCAGGUCCCCCCGACACUUCUCUUGGGAAUGAAGUGGACAAGCUGUGGGUGAUUCGGAUGGUCUGUUGGUGGAAUGUGGAGCUGGAUGGGUCAAGGAGCAAAGUGUGGAAAGAGGGACAAUUUGCUACAAGUUGGAGGUAAGAGACAUGGCAUACUGUGAAACCAGUGCUGACGGAAGAAGGCGACUUUCUUGGAAGGUCAAGAUAUUUGCUUGACAGCGAUGUCCAGGAGGGCUAGGGAGAGUUCUGCUGGAAGUGAAGGCAGCACCUGAGGGUGGCUGAGGGAACUGGGUGGGGCUGGGAAUGCCUCCAGCCCUUUGAGGAAUGAUUAGGUGAUUAAGAGAUGUUUGGCCUUGAAAAUUGCAAGAAUGAAAUCCCUUCGUGGGAAUGUGUAGCCGAAAGCCAGCACCCUGAGUGGCUCCAAGGUUUGGGGACCCUCUCAAGGCACAAAUCCCAGUUCCUUUUCAAUUUUGAAAAUCGCUGUGGGCGAUUCUGGAAUUCAGAAGUGUGCUGAGAGCCACGGAUUUGACAUGACAAGCAUUUCCGCCCCUUCCUCACUGAGCCUACCGCACAUGCUUCAGGGCCAGGGACUUACUUGGGCUUCUGCGUAUCUUCCACAGCGUGCAUCAAUCCGCCAGGCUCUGGUUGGUGUUUAAAAAAAAAGAUGCAGUGAAGGAAUCUGGUGUGGACAAAUGCCCUGGGCAUGGACCAGAAGCCUGGCCCCUGUGUCCCUGGCAAUGGGACGGUGAAGGACAGAAAGACAGCACAUCCAGUAGUGUCAGGAGCUUGGAGCAGGCAUUCGGAAGCAUCUGUUAAAUGUUAUUGAUGGAGGAUUGACAUAACCCACAUCUGCAUAGCUUUUUUGGUCUUUUUUUGGAAGUGAACAGUCACAAACAAAAACAACUUUGGUUCAGGUCAUUUACAGGCCCAGAUCCUCUAUCCUUCGAGGUUUCCCACCAGAUAUACUAUUUCACUAUCUACACCAGGAAAGUUACAUAAAACCACGCAGAAUUUUACCUGACAACGAAAUAGACCUUUUCGUUAGAUCCUCCACCCCACCUAAAGAAGUUACACAGGCUGAAAUGAAAUUGUUAAAGGAAUGAACUAAUUUGGAGAUAGAAUCAUUGCCUUUGCUGAACAACAUUUUAAGAAUGUGGGAAUAGGUAGGGGUACUAGCAUAAUAGUAAAAUGUGCCCAUAUUAUCUAUAAUUUUAUUCUGGGCACUUUUUAGAAAUUAUUUUUUAUAACUUUGCCUUUGAGAUGAUUUGGCUACAAGUUCAUUACAUUUCAUUUACAACUGGCUUUGAUUUCUUGGCAUUCAUUGUGUAUUAUUAGGAAACCCCACAGAGAGAAAAUGUAAACUCCAAAUUGCUUUAAAAUAUUAUAUUUUUUAGAGAUAUUAUACUAUGACAGUGAAUGAAAUGGACAUAACGUUCCAUUUUGUAGAUAUUUCAUGAAAUCUUUAUUAGUCUUGAUUUUCUUUGGAACAAGUCAUUCCUGUUCUGGGCUGAAGUAUGAAAAUUCCCUGCCCUGUGACCCUGGCCCAAGUCUCCUCUUGGAUAAAACAGUGUUUCCUGGACCAGAGGGCAAAGUCACAGAAACAUGAUGUGACGAAAUCUAAAUAGAAAGGUAUUGAUUUGUUCUUCGUUCAUCAAAUAGUUAUUGGACUCCAGUACGUAUGAGUAGCAGGGAGCCUGGCUAGCACUAUACCUUCCCUUCCUGCCUUUCAGAGUCAGGGCCACAGGCACACACAGACCCAGGGAAAAUGAGGGGGCAGAGAGGCUGGUCCUGAGGCUCCAGCCCUUCUCUCCCAAUUCUCUCCCUGAGUGGGCAGGGGACUCUUCUCCUUGGGCGGAGAAGUCAACCUCAUUGACUUCGCCAAUUUCCAUCAACAUCUACCCUUGGAUCUGGUUUUAAACUCUAAGGUGUAAAUGACUCAUAAUGGCUCAACAUUUUGCCCCUCCCAGGAGGUACUUUUAAGUCUAAGGAAUAAAGAUUUAAUAGUAAAACUUCGAAUGCCAAUUGGGGGUAAGUGAGGAUUUGGAAGAGGAAAGUCUUAAGCAUUUUCCUAACACUCCUAAAAUCAUCCCAUUGAGUUAGGGCAGCAGCUAUCCUGAUGGGUUGGGUAUGAUGGAAGUUAGUCAAUGUUUCAAUGGAUGGAUGGAUGGAUGGAUGGAUGGAUGGAUGGAUGGAUGGAUGGAUGGACUAAUGGACAGACGGAUGGAUGGAUGGAUAGAUGGGUAGAUGGAUGGAUAGAUCACCUUUAUUCUGAUCUCAACUGGUCUUUGAAGCUUGAUUCAUUUUUUGAUUUCUCAUGGAGCCAGACUAGGGUCUGACACAUUAGGAAGCUGGCAAAAGUUUGUUGACUAAACAAAUUAAUGAAGGGAAAAUUAUGUAUGCAGAGAUGCCUGGGGUUUGGGUUACCGUUUUGGGUCCCCUUUGAUUUGAGCGACACAUAUGCUGACAACUUGAGUCUGCAGUUAGUGGAUCCUUAGCUAACUUGCUAGAGUAAAUAAAGGUCGUGGUAAAACUU